GAACUGCUUCCGAGGAGGGACAUUACCGAGUUUACAACUCCCAAACCCAAUGUGAACCAUACCAAACUGUUGCCUCGGCGGGGUCACGCCCCGGGUGCGUCGCAGCCCCGGAACCAGGCGCCCGCCGGAGGGACCAACCAAACUCUUUCUGUAGUCCCCUCGCGGACGUUAUUUCUUACAGCUCUGAGCAAAAAUUCAAAAUGAAUCAAAACUUUCAACAACGGAUCUCUUGGUUCUGGCAUCGAUGAAGAACGCAGCGAAAUGCGAUAAGUAAUGUGAAUUGCAGAAUUCAGUGAAUCAUCGAAUCUUUGAACGCACAUUGCGCCCGCCAGUAUUCUGGCGGGCAUGCCUGUCCGAGCGUCAUUUCAACCCUCGAACCCCUCCGGGGGGUCGGCGUUGGGGAUCGGGAACCCCUAAGACGGGAUCCCGGCCCCGAAAUACAGUGGCGGUCUCGCCGCAGCCUCUCCUGCGCAGUAGUUUGCACAACUCGCACCGGGAGCGCGGCGCGUCCACGUCCGUAAAACACCCAACUUCUGAAAUGUUGACCUCGGAUCAGGUAGGAAUACCCGCUGAACUUAAGCAUAUCAAAGGGCGUAGUUCCUUUUUUGGGAGGGAAGUGGGCGUUGACACAGGGCUCAGAUCGCGCAGGGCGGGGGAGGAGUAGGAG
rnacentral:rRNA from 1 species